AUAUAGAUACUAUAAUUUUAAAGUUUGAUUCUUGCUUAUAUUUUUAUUAUUAACUGCUUUUACAUGUUAACUUUUGUGUGAAUUACUUAUAUUUCUUAAUGAAAUAUUAAUUUCAUUCGCAGUAUUUAAUAUUAAAUAAUUCAUGAAAGUGAGAUUUAGAUAAGUAAAUAGUCCUGACCAAGUUUGUGCCAGCAGUCGCGGUUAUACAAUAAGGGCAAAUAAAAAUUAUUGGUUUAUAUUAUUCAUUUGUGUUGAGUUAAUUUUAUUUUCAAAUUAUUAGGUGAAAUUUUAUUUUAUAAAAAAGGCUUUGGUUUGAUAUAUUAUAUGAAAAUUAUCUUUAAACUAGGAUUAGAUACCCUAUUAUUUUAAUUGUAAAUAAUCAACCUUAAUAUUAUUAGUUAUGUUCUUUAAAUUUAAAGAAUUUGGCGGUAAUUUAAUCUAUUCAGAGGAACCUGUCCUAUAAUUGAUAAUCCACGUUAAAUUUAACUUUAUUUUUGCUUGUAUACCUCUGUCAUUGAAUGUUUUAUAAGAUAAUUUUCUAAUAUUUUUAUGUAGAUAAUGUUAGGUCAAGGUGCAGCUAUAAUAAAGUAGAGAUGGGUUACAUUAAAUAUAUUUAUGGAUCAAUUUAUGUAAAUAAUUGUAAAAAUGGAUUUGAGAGUAAUUAUUUUAAAAUAAAAAUAUUGACUCUGGCUCUAAAUUAUGCACACAUCGCCCGUCACUCUCAUUAAUUAAGAUGGGAUAAGUCGUAACAAAGUAGGCCUACUGGAAAGUGGGCCUAGUAAUC
rnacentral:ncRNA from 1 species